rnacentral:rRNA from 1 species
AAUGAUUUAAGAAUUACUCAAUUAAGGCACAGCUUACUUGAAACAGGAUACAACCUAAACAACGGGGUAAAAGCCCGCCACCAUACGCAGUGGGCCUAAAAGCAGCCACCUCUAAAAAGCGUCAAAGCUUAAUAUAACACUUUCUUCCCAUCCCAUUAAUAGCCAUGAACCCCUCACCCCCACUGAGUGAUACCAUAAACAUAUGGUAAGCACCAUGCUAGGACUAGUAACAAGAAUACACAAUUCUCCGAAAUGUAAACGCAAGCCAGAAUGAAUACCCCACCGGCAGCUAACGAAAAUGAAUCAACUACAGCAACAUCAACAAGAAAACCCUGUAACUACCCUCGUUAACCUAACACCAGAACAUUCCAGGAAAGAUUAACAGAAGGGGAAGGAACUCGGCAAACCCCAACCCCGCCUGUUUACCAAAAACAUCGCCUCUUGACCACAUAAGAGGUCUAGCCUGCCCAGUGACAAAAUUCAACGGCCGCGGUACCCUAACCGUGCAAAGGUAGCAUAAUCACUUGUUCUUUAAAUAAGGACUCGUAUCAACGGCACCACGAGGGUUGCACUGUCUCCCCCCUCUAAUCAGUGAAACUGAUCUCCCCGUGAAGAAGCGGGGGUACAACUAUAAGACGAGAAGACCCCAUGGAGCUUAAAACCUACAGCAACUCAAUUUCCCCCACCCCCCCACAGCCCAAAGAGACAUGCAUAGCGGUUUUAGGUUGGGGCGACCGCGGAGUAAAAACUAACCUCCACGACGAAAAGAACUAAAUCUUUAUCCCAGAGCCACCUCUCCAAGAAUUAGCACACUAACGAACAAUGACCCGACUAUCGAUCAACGAACCAAGUUACCCUGGGGAUAACAGCGCAAUCUACUUCAAGAGCCCCUAUCGACAAGUAGGCUUACGACCUCGAUGUUGGAUCAGGGUGCCCCAGAGG